GCACUCUCGGAUAACCAUAGGCAUGAAACCAUGACAGGGCACUGAGCAAGAGGAGAACUGGGCCUAAAUACCCCUCCUGUGGAUCAGAUUGGCUGAAACCGGCCUUUUGACCCCAAAGGCAAUUACCAGGUUUCCAUUUGCAUGAUUGCUGCUCAGCACAAACCCUCCUGUGGAUUUGAUUGCUGCUCGGCACAACUUUUCCUGUCAGGACAGUAAAUGCCUUAACCACAUUUUUGUGUGUGGAUGAAUACGUGACACUCCUCCAGUCUUUGUUCAACCCCUUAAUGGCAAGCAUCUUAAGUACAUAGUUGAGCACCCUUUUUCUGUUAUGACCUGCUGCAAACAAGGUGCAUAGCCAAACACAAACUUCUGGCAGUGUUCCACAGGAAUCCUGGCCAAUUGCUCAUGAGCAAUGCCCUCCAGUUGAGUAAUAUUCUUGCUGCAACCACCUUCUUCAAAUCCCACCACAGAUUUUCUAUUGGGUUGAAGUUGGGUGACUGAUGGCAACUGUAGACUUUUCCAGGAAAUCUGGUUGCAGCCAUUGAUACCUUCCUUUUUCUGCCCCAUCCAGGUAGUGUAACCACUGUUCCUUCAAUUUUGAACUUGUGAACUAUGAUUCCAACGGUGUCUCUAAGAACAUUCAAUGCCUUCGCUAUCUUUUUGUAUCCUGUGCCUUAUUUGUGAAGGACGAUGAUCUUUUCUCUUAAAGGAUCACUAUAGUGCCAGGAAAACACUCGUUUUCCUGGCACUAUAGUGCCCUGACGGUGCUCCCACCCUCAGGGCCCCCCUCCCGCCAAGCUCUGGGGAGAGGAAAGGGGUUAAAUCUUACCUUUCUCCAGCGCCAGGCGGGGAGCUCUCCUCCUCCUGGGCUGAAUGCGCAUGCGCGGCAGGAGCUGCGCGCACAUUCAGCCGGUCUCAUAGGAAAGCAUUUACAAUGCUUUCCUAUGGAUGCUUGCGAGUUCUCACUGUGAUUUUCACAGUGAGAAUCACGCAAGCGUCUCUAGCGGCUAUCAAUG